rnacentral:rRNA from 1 species
GACGAACGCUGGCGGCGUGCCUAAUACAUGCAAGUAGAACGCACAGUCUAUACCGUAUCUUGCUACACCAUAGACUGUGAGUUGCGAACGGGUGAGUAACGCGUAGCUAACCUUCCUGGUAGCGGGGGAUAACUAUUGGAAACGAUAUCUAAUACCGCAUAAUAUUGAUUAUUGCAUGAUAAUUGAUUGAAUGAUGCUAUUGCAUCACUACCAGAUGGACCUGUGUUGUAUUAGCUAGUAGGUGAGGUAACGGCCAACCUAGGCGACGAUACAUAGCCGAGCUGGGAGGGUGGUUGGCCAAAAGUGGAAUGAGACAAGGCCCAGACUCCCAAGGGAGGGAGCCGUAGGGAAACUUUGGCCAUGGACGAAAGUCUGAACGAAGAAAGCCGGGUGAGUGAAGAAGGUUUUCGGAUCGUAAAGCUCUGUUGUAAGAGAAGAACGGGUGUGAGAGUGGAAAGUUCACACUGUGACGGUAUCUUAACAGAAAGGGACGGCUAACUACGUG